rnacentral:lncRNA from 1 species
AGCAUGGCUUUCUAGCAUAUUUCUACAUCAACCAGGACAACAAGUCUCCAGGAGCAGUCCAGAGGCAAAUCCCAGUGGAGGCCAGUGAGGAACAAGGCAAAAUUCUCCCAACAGAGACAUCAAGCACUUUGCCAUGGAUCUGACAGCUUCCAGGGACAGUGUGUAUUUCAAAAGGACAAGGAGGAACAGGCCUUUGGAAGCUGGCCCUCCAUAGCCAAGAACUGUCUUGUCAGUUUUGCCUCAUGAUCAUGCAAAUGUUCACAUUUUGUUUGGAUAAUAUGAGGUAUUUGAAAA